UAAUACCUGGGUUGUGCGACAACUCCUGCCGUUUUGAACCUACAUUUACUUUAAACGGGAUUCCUACAUUGCGGAUUGGAUGUCAUGCCCCCAUUAUGGCCAGGGGAAGGCAGAAGAGAAGCUGCGGUUACCCACCUAGCAUCGCUAGGAGUCAAGAGGCAGGAACCGGCAUCCCGGGUAUUUU
rnacentral:other from 1 species